rnacentral:lncRNA from 1 species
UUUGUGUUUGUCAAUGGCAAGCAAAUUCUCCAAGAUUAGGAUUUUGAAAAUAACUUAUCAAAUAGCUUGAGUGGAGAUGUUUUCGAUCUUUGGUAGCAAGAUGCCAUGGAUUCUUGCAUUACUAAGGAUCAUGCCUCACCAUAGAAAUUGAACACAAAAAACAGUGGAAGACUCUAAAACAUUGAACAAGGAACUUAGUAUGUUUAUAAAUGGCUUCGAACGACCUGAUAGAAUCAACUAUUUAUCCGCUCGACCUAUGUCCCAUAUCCCAUGUUGAAAUCAAGGGAAUAAUGUAGAAAACAUGUGCAAUUACUUACAAGCCAAUGAUGUAAGCAUCGCAAUCAUUUGUUUGACGUUGCAAUUCAUAAAGGUAUCAGAUCUAGAUAAAUCUGUGCACAAAAACUUUACUUCCACUAACGCCCUUUGUUUGUACUCUAAUGUUUGUUCUAUUGUACAAAUUAUUGAGAGUAAGUUGUGGAAGGCAUUAAAUAUAGCCGAUACUUUCCAUGCUAUUUAUUAUAGUCGACAUAUUUAUAGUAAAUAUUGACACUCUCCAUGCUAUUUAUUAUAGUCCAAGUAUUUUUAGUAAAUAUUGCAGCUAUAGUGUUUGGAAUGUAGUGGGGAGGAAUUGCUUAUCUUCUCCCCUUCUGUGUCCACAUUACUUCUAGUUACUCUUGUCUCUCUCUUAAAUAUUCUCAACACAAAUGAAUUUAAUGCAUCCACUCUAAAAAGGAAAAAGUCUUACAGAAAGCUGGAAAACUAUCUCUGAUACAGUUAUCAUCUGGGUCUCAUGUCACUGAGCUGAAUCAUCCCCUCGACGGUGAUCAGAUGAUCCCCAUCACGACGAACCGAUCCUCGUCUAGGACCACGAGGAUUCAACACCGAUGCCUCUGAUUCUUCUGUUUCUGAAACCGCGGUCAGCUCCUCCUUGCCCAAUCCAAGCAACCGCAACGAGUCAAGCUGCCGCUCUUUCUUUCUCGAGGUCAGCACCAUCACCUCCGACUCUGUGUCGUGCUGCAACAUGGUCACUACCCUGGCCAUGGUGGGCCUGUCCUCUGCAGCGCUUUGAGAGCACAGGAGAGCUAUGUUGAUCAGCCGCUGCAAUUCUACCUUCUCACCCUCUGAAAGGAUUAGUGCUGGGUCUACCAGCUCCAUCAGCUUGCCCUCCGAAUGCAGUUUCCAAGCCUGCACUUAUUGACAGAUGAUCGAUGCGUUGGAUAUCAAUAGCUUCACAAAAAAUUUAAUAACGCAUGUGCACAAGCUGCUCAGUCACGUUUUGCCAAUCAGGCCUUAAUUUAUAUAUACAGUGAGAAAACAGUGAGAGCUGUACUGGUUACUAAGAGCAAAAGAACUGAAAGUUGAAUCAGAAUGAAUCGUUAAGGUAAUAAAAGUAUGAAUCAUACCCAUUUGGAGAGAUAGACUUCGUCUAGUGGCAUUGUCUCAUCAAUGUUCCUUCGGCCACUCAAAACCUCCAAACACAGAACUCCAAAGCUGUAGACGUCCACUUUCUCACUCAGUUGGCCAAGCGACGCAUAUUCCGGUGCCAAAUACCCCCUGCGUGAGUGUACAUGUAUGCUGCCUUAGUCCAAAUCCUGAACUCUACUCUCUGGGAUGAGUUAACAUCAUACACAAUCUUAGAAAGGACCCAGUUAAUGGUUUGAAAUCCAGUCAUAUUUAAUCAAUCAGGUGGACAAACAAGUUUCGUCCAAGUGCGAAACAUAUACUCUAGGUUUCGAAGUGGCAAGGCAUUCGCAUAACUUACUUGGUGCCAGCCACAUGUACUGUCAUGAUGUGGCUCUUCUCUUCCGGAAACAGCAAGGCUAACCCAAAAUCUGCAAUUUUCGGCUCGAAGUUCUUGUCUAGCAAGAUGUUGCUGGCUUUGAUAUCUCUAUGGAUGAUUUUGGGUCGCGCCAGUGAAUGUAAGUAGUGCAAGCCACGCGCUACACCCAGACAAAUGUUAUGCCGAACAGUCCAACUCAGGAGAGUAUUAUGUUCACCACCUGAAAAGUAUGGGUUGUAUCUAUUAAGAGAAUAUCCUAGAAACCAGAAUGCGAAGUGAGUGCAUAUUGCAUUAAAUUAAUUGCAUAGAAGAAAUAUUUUUGGUUCUGGUUGGGAAAGUUAACGAACUCACGGAGAAGAACUUGGUCGACAUCGUAGUUAUCCACAUACUCGUAUACCAGCAAUCUCUGGUGUUCACGAAGGCAGCAGCCUCUCAGAUUCACAAGGUUUCUGUGCUUCAUUCCAGUGAUACAGACAACUUCGUUUAGAAAGUCGUCUAUGCACUGUGUGUUCUUCAUAAACAGCUGCUUCACAGCCACCGUAGUCUGAUUUGGCAGAAUGCCCUGCAGCAUCAAGUGAACUUAUUACUAAAAUUUCCUUCGCUGUUGCGUCAAGAAAUUGACAAAAGGAACAGCUGAAUAAAGCCAAACUAGACAAACAAGACAGAUAUUUCUUUUCUCCGAACCCAUUCUUGAGCAUUUAGUCCUCCACUAAGAUUCAAGUGUGUGUAAACUACUCGUUAAUCUUGUCAAUUAGUUACCUUGUAUACGGUUCCAUAGCCUCCUUCACCCAACUUCAUAUCUGGAUGAAAAUCCCGGGUGGCAGCUCUGAGCUCAUUGUAUGCAUAUAUUGUGGGCUUGACAUCAAACUCUUCGAAUUCUGCAACCAUUUACAAAGUAAGGAUAUAAUCUAUCUCGGACAUUGACCUGCUCUGACUUGAACCUUUCUCUUCAUAAAAAACAAAGACAAUCUCGUCUGUGAAGAAAACACUAAGUUAUUGGUGUUGAUGGACUUACUUUUGCUAACUUGAAGGAGGAGAUACCGUUUGUAUCUUCGGGCUCUGUAGAGUAGCGCAGCAGCAAUAACUGCUAUUAUGACCAGUACUAAUACUGUACUUGUGGCAGCUGCUAUUAUGAUAACCCUCUUGUUACUCAAGGAACCUGAAAGAAAAUAAAUCUCUAGUUAGAAUUCGUUAUCUGAGAAGAGAAAGAGUUCUAAUGCAACUAGUGAAAACAAGAUGCUCCAGAACCAAUGCAUUUUGAAAGUAACUCUUGAUUCGACCUUCACCUUCAUCACUGCAGAACUGUUGACAAAAACAUCUUGUAGCAUCAUCAGCUUUUCGUUUACAGUAUGGAUUGCCUUGCAGUCUGUGUAUGGCAACAAUUUCAACAGGCAAAGCACUGCUGGGUCAGUUGGAUCUAAGAACUUCUAGGUGCUCAUGCUAGAAAGUGCAUACAUUUGUGUCCAAGAAUUUAUGCUAUUGUAAAGUUCAAUUAAUGGAUUCAUUUGGGAAAUUAUGAAGAUUAACCUUAAAGUAGUUGCAAUGUCUUCAAUGCUUCCCGUGUAAAUUACAUGGGUAAUUUUGUUGUUCAUCAUUGACAGAGUGCUUAGCCCGUAUGAUCCAAUAGCAGACUUCCUCCGAAAGAAGUGGCUCCCAAUAAGUUGAUUGACGUCAAGAGUUCCACUGAUGCCAGUGUUAUCUAGAUACCUGCCAUACCCAUUUACGUGAGAUAUAUCAAACAAUUGAAUCUCACCGUAGUUGCCAUGUUCUAUGAAAAAUAUUGAGCCGUUGUUGGACUAAACCUCUGAGAAGUGUAAUUUGUGUAAGAAAAAAAGGAAAGAAAAAAGAAAAAGAAAAUCGUGCGAGAGAACUGGAGCGAUAAUUGCUUACAGUUCCUCAAGAGAAGCCAGAUCUGAGCCGUUCCAGCCUGUAACAGUUCCUAUCACGUGAUUGCCGGAUACGUGAAGCACAGAAAGACUGCUGCUCACGAUGCCUGCGUUUUUAAGUGAGGCGAAUGGAAAUUCUCCAGUAAAAUUGUUAUAGUCCAAUUUCCUGCAACAACCAUGCAGGUUGCCUUUAAACAUCAGAUUCUCGGAAUAUAAAUUUAGCACCAAAAGUUGAAUGUGUCACAGUCGAUUUACUUAGUGUGCAUAAAUGACCCGCUUAGAAAUUAAACAGAAGAAAAUAGCCACGCAGUAGAAGAACAAUAAAUUGGCUCACAGGUUUAGGGUUUCAGGAAGCAUGAAGAGCCUGGGCUAGCCUUACAGAGUUCUUAAAGAAGUGAACCUUGUCAGGUUAGGCAGUGGCCCAUUGAAGCUAUUGUUCGACAAUAUCCUGUGCAUGACAACACGUUGGCUCAACACUUUGACUAAGCCUCCAAAACCAAAAUUUGAUUAAUUGGGCUCAAUGAUAAGAAGAAGCGACAUAUUCAUGAUUAUUACGAUUAGUACUCUCAACUGUGCAGCAUCUCUUUGGCAUUACUAAACUGACUGAUACAUGCUGUGGAAUACAUCCACAAGCACUCACGUUCAAAAUCAAGAUUCCUUGAGAGCUUCAUGUAGUUGUAAAGACUCUGUAAAAAAUACCAUAUAGUACUUAACGACGAGAUUAAGCAAUGAGCUCAAAUGUAAGGAAUGAAUGACACUCACAAAGACUGUAGGCGCUGGCAUGUAGUGAGAUCUGGCAGAGGUCCAGUGAGGUUGUUCACAGAUAAGUCCCUGCAUCAUUCCAUCAUUAAUCUCUAAAACCAAACAUCCACUUUGUAUUCGUAGAGCAAUUAAAACAAUUUGAGCUACUUGUAGAGAAAAUGAUGCAAACUUAAUGAACAAGAGGGUUGUAGGAAAUGAAAAACCAAUGCACGGAUUCAGAAUCUCACAGUAAUUCCAACUGCGUCAUGUUUACGAAGGCAUCUCCAGAUAUGCUGCCGUUGAAGUGGUUCCUGGCGAGCUUGAGUGUCUGAAGAUAAACCAAGCUGCGGAUUUGAGGAAAAAAUCCCCCAACAAAUUGAUUGCCACUCAGAUCUCUGUAAAAAUCAAUGAAAGACAUGUGCAGUACAUACAAGAUCAGUCGAAGUGUGAACUCCAGUUUUAGGGUUUCAAGGAUAGAAAUGAAAGAAACAGGAGCUAAGUAAUUGCACUUUUGUAAUCUAAACUUACAAAUUUAAAAGCGUGUAGAGGUAUGGUACAUCUGGAAGAGUUCCGUUAAACCCAUUGUCGUGGAGAUCUCUGCAAUGAAUUAGCACCAAUACUGAAUGUUAAGAUGUUAGAAGUAGGGUAGACGUUACACAAAAGUUGAUGUUGACAAAACAUUGAUUGCUGGCGCUCGGAUUCGGAGCUCACAGAAUAUACAGAUAUGGAUCUUGGAUUUCUGGGGGCAGAGGUCCAGUUAAGUUUUGAUUUCCAGUCAAUUCUCUGCAGAGGAAUGCAAGGUAACUUCUUGUCAGUGUCGGAGGGUGUGACACAUGACCCAAUACUUCCCAUUAUAUAUCCAUAUUCUUUCAUAAUAGUCGUUGGUAAGGCCCAUUUUGGUGUUGCUGUGCUCUUGUAUUAAUCUCGUCAGAUCAUAUGAACUCAGCUAGAAGAAGGAGGGGGAAGGGGGAUAAGAAAAAUAUUGUGCUCUCCGGUGCCAAGCAAAUUCUACAGGAUUAGGGCUUCGAGCAUAACUCACAGCGUAGUCAGAGUGGUGAUGUUUCCGAUCUCCGGCGGCAAAUAGCCUGAGAUGGAUGCAUUGUUGAGGGUCCUGUACAUCCUCCCAUUCAAGUUAGAUAAUUGCUAAAACAUAAAGGUCAGAGGAGAUAGCUCAUUUCUUAGAAAUGAAAGAGAGUAGCACGGUCUACUUACAGGCCAACGAUAUAACCACUGCAAUCAUUUGUGUCAUUACAAUUGAUAUUCUCAAGACACUGCACUCCUCGCCAAUUAGGAAUAUUGUCAGGGUUCUUAUAAAUCUGCCAGCAAGGGAAGAUUUGGGAAGAAUUCCAGCCACCCAAAUUGUUUCGCUGGUCGGGAGUGGUUUUGCUCCAUGCCGCCAAAAGGGCUUGCAGAGCAUCCACUGGCCCAAAUCCCACCACACACACACAAACUCAACAUCACAUGCCACAUGGGAUGUUACUCCACUUCCACACCUGUGAUUAACUUAGCCUGUAUCCGGCCAGGCCCCUUGAGAAUUUCAAGUCUCACUCUCUUUUCUCUCUAGCGCAGCAAGAAUAUCGCCCUAGGUUCAAGAGACGCAGAUCCUUAUCCUUCUUCUUCUCAACCCCGUCGACCCUGCUAGAAUGAGUAGGAAAACUACUCCGUCACAAGUACAAAAAACUAAUAAUUCUACCUAGUCUGAGCCCUGGCCCCUCGCAGACUGCGUCACCGACAGGUGAAGAGACAUGAUGGCGGAUGGAAUGGACAUGUACACUUGAGUUUGCCGAAAUUUAUAGGAGGAAGGCUUCAUCGACAAUUUCAGUAUAAUAAUUAAGUUCCUAGCUAAAUUACAAACUUUCAGAACUUGGAAAUGUUGCAGACUUGCAGUGGAGAGCAUCUGAGCAGGACAUUGAAGAGAAAUUAAUAUGCCUGAUUGUGAGCAUGCCCUUUCUGAGCGGCCUAAUUCAGCUUCUUAUUUCCUCUAGUGCUUAUGCGUCCAUUUACAUAUUACACACCAGCUUUAAGAUGCGUGCAUCCUCAGAUACCUCACAUACAUUACUAUGCCUCAGUACUUGACUCAUAACUUACGCGGUGUAGCCUUAAAGCUGGAGUGAUAUGAUCAUCGUCAAUGGACGCUCGGCGCAUAAGCGCUUGAGGAUAUAAGAAGCUAGCUCUCAGUGCUCUAAGAAUUUACUUCUACAGCUGGUAUAUAUCAGCUAGCAACGGUUAAUACACGAGAAUAUUGAGCAAUUACACUCACACUGGACAGGUGAGAAAAUCGUUCGAUUGACAGCCUCGGUGGGAAGAGGUGACGAGAAGAGAACCGCCACCACCACCACAAGCAUGAUUGAGUUCAGUCGGCGCUGAUGCAGCACCCAUCCCUUGACACCCAAAACACAACCCGUCUCGGAACCAGGUGUUGUUACAUGCUCCGAAACUUUCAAGCUUGACCCUGCCAUUGCCGAGUUUCUCCGACUGACUGUUGCUUGUAAUAAAGUUGUGGACAGUUGGGCAUCGAACUGAAGGCCUCAGACGGGAUCAGUUGGUGUUCGUGAAGAAGUUCUCAGCAUUGACAGUGCCAAGUUGAUGAUCACGAGAUUCGAUCGCACACUCAAGCAGAGGAUUCGCAAUGGAAAGCAAGCAAAUGCUCUGGAUAACAUGCGGCGAAAGAUGUGACAAACAGUCUAUAUUAUAAACACGAGCCACCAAGCGGUCAACGUCGACACUGUAUGGGUCACAUAUGAUCCUCGUCUUCACUCACAACUGAUGUCUCAAUUUCGUCUGUACGGAAUUCAUAUACAAUUUGCCCAACAAACUUUUGUCAAGCAGAGCGAGCCUGUUGCAGGCGGGGUUCCACGACGACUUUGUAGCACAAGGCUUGAUGAUAAGAUUCUCUGGAGCUCUAAUUAAAAUUACAGUGACCAUCGGUGGCUUGCAACUUGACAGCUUCCAAAUUAGAUAAUGCUCAGAAAUUAAGUUGAAGUAGCCGCUUGCAGUUAUGGACACGACACAUAAGCUUUAUCUUGGACCACAAUGAGAAUCCUAGGCAGCGACUAAGUUAGAAGUUACUAUGUUAUGGACAUAUAUUGGCUCCACAGCAUGAAAUCUGUAUCAUAGAACCGGCGAUGGGGUAGAACGCGUUGAUUCAGUGGUCAAUCCUGUCUGAAGCAUGCAGGUUCGCUACGAACAUGUAUUAUUCCCAAAGAAUCCAUGUCAUCAAGGUAUAUGGUUGGUUACGGAUAUGAAUAUGGUAUGUAUAUAGUAUGUAUAUGAUUGGUUAUCAAGAGCACAUGGUAUGAAAAGUCCACUUGCUAUAUUAUUUCUUUCUCCGGAAAGAGCCCAGGGGCCUUUUUUGCCCACCUUCACGUGCUAGUGAUGACUUGUGUAUACUCCUGAUGGGCGGGUCGCGUCUGGACCUCCGGGUACUGAAAUGGCUCACUAUUUAAAUCAAUCAUUUUCUCAAUAUAUUUAAUCAUUUGAUCAGUAAUCUAUUUUAACAUGCAAACGGUGUCAAAUAGGGAUAAUGGGCAAUGGAAGGCUUUGCGUUUCUCAGAUUUGGCAGGAAGAAGGCUACUUUGGCCUAUUUAGGGUUUAUACAGAAUUAUCAAUUGUGACAAUGUAAUGGUGACAUGACAUUGUGAUGAGUUGUGACAUGAUGGACCCCUUUGUCAUGUCACAAUAGGAUCAACCUAGGAUUGAACCCUAGAAUUCACCUUAGGGAAAUCAAAAUUAUUAUUCCUUUGAUGUCAUACUUUGUACCUUGAAUCUCCUAAACUUGUUUGGACAAUUUGCAUUGUGUAAUUAGACAAUUCAAAAUAAUUUUCUUAUUGGUGCUUAUUAUUUUCUAUUUACGUUAGUAGCUUAAAUUGAGUUGCAUCAAUCUACAUAGGUUUAAGGCCCAUUGAAUGCUUCUUUGAUGUUUUUAAAGAAAUAACAAUUGCACCUUGGUAAUUAUUACUAGGAAUCUAUUAUCUUUCUUAUCACAAUUCAAAUAAGCAAUUAUUGCAAGUGAUAGCUUGAGAUAUGAGUUCUUUUAAAUUAUUGGUUCAUGGCAUUGUAAUCAAUCAAUUUUUCACAUUGUUUCUUAAAUAAUAUUGAAACCGAGUUAUAAAUGCCUUAUUGUUCCAAUCAUGGUCACAUGCAAGCCGUUGAAAUUUUGUUGCAUAAAUUACGAUUAAAAGUGAUCUUUGUUGCAAAUUUUGUAUCUUCUUUGCUACCACCAUCACUUGAUCACUAUCCUCAAAUACAACAAUAAAUCUCUCCAUAAAGGCCUUUAGGUCAUAUAAUAUUGGAGUUUUUUUUUUAAUAAUGGAAUAAAUUAUGAAUAAGUAUUUCUUAAUAAAAAAAGUACCUACAAAAGUAACUUGAGUAAACCUGUUUUGAUAACGAGAAGGAUAUAAGCGUUAGUAGAGCCAUUGUUGUGUUGUAACACAACUGUAUGGUGAAAGAUAAUAAUAUGGAUCUUAUUAUAGAAGAGCCAAGUUAAAAGAUAAACUAAAAAAAUAUGGAUGAAAGAUAGGAAGGUAGUAAAAAUUUUAGUAGUAAUGCUACAUUUUAGAAAGAUAGCUUCUUCUUACUUUGUAGGGCCAAAAAUAAGGCAUAAUAAAGUAGAUUAGAAAAAUAAAGGAUAUGAGCAUUUAUAGGAAGAAGUUAGGAGUGGAUUUUAACAAAAAUUAACUCAAAAAGACAAAAUUUGAUACCCAAAGAGGGCCAGUUAUCACCUUGGAUCGAAAUCAGACCCUGAGGCACAAAACUGAGCACCUACAGCAACUCGUGGGUUCUUUGGUAGAUCAGAGAAUGGGAUUUGAUAGCACACUAGAUAAGAUUUCUAUAAGCAUUGUUUUUGUGUGAUUUGGAUUCGAAAUGACUUUGUAAGAGCUUUACAAACUCAAAUUUGUUUUUGGAUGACUUAAAUUUUCUAAAAUAAAAUAGGGUUGUUAUUUUGGAUUGGAGUCAAACUUAUAGGUGAGGAAAUUAGACUUCUUUUCCUAUGUAUAGAAGAAUUUUGAAAUCAAUCAAUUGGUGAAAGGGAGAGAUAUUGGCUCUAGAAGAUUGGCAUCAAGGUCAGAGAAGGAAGCUAGCCAAUACCUGAGCACAUUUUUGAGGUUAUCAUCUAUUUGGUAAUUUCGAUCCUUUUCAAAUUUUUUUUUGCUUUUUUUCAACUCAAUUGUUAAGAAGUGUGCAAAUUUUGAGUGAAGAUCAACUGUUCAUUCAUUAGUUAUUGAGGUUUAAAUCUAUUGUAGAAAUUACUAGGGUUUGAUUAAGGUUGGAUUUAGAAUUUAGGAUUUGAUUUAGGAUUUAUGAUUUAGUUAGGAUUUGGUUUAGGGUUUAAGAUUUGAUUAGGAUUUGAUUUAGGAUUUAGAGUUUGAUUAGGAUUUGAUUUAAGAUUAUGAUUUGGUCAGAAUUUGAUUUAAGAUUUACGAUUUGAUUAGGAUUUGAUUUAAGAUUUAAGGUUUGGUUAGAGUUUGGUUAGGAUUUGAUUUAGGAUUAGGAUUUGGUUAGGAUUUGAUUUAGGAUUUAAGAUUUUGUUAGGAUUUGAUUUAGAAUUAGAUUUUGGUUAGGCUUUGAUUUAUGAUUAAGAUUUGAUUAGGAUUUGAUUUGGAAUUUAGGGUUUUAUUAGGAUUUAUUUAAGAUUUAAGAUUUUAUUAGUUUUUAACCUAAAAUUUGAAUGAAAUCCAAUAAGAUUUUAACUAGGAUUAAAUUAUAAUUAAAUUAAGAUGUAUUUGAGAUAUAUUUGUAAUCAUUCAAAUAUUUCUUUAAGAUUUUUUAUUUGUAAUUCCUUUGAGGUUUCUUUGAAUUUGAUUAAAGCUUGCUUAACAUUGUUAUGGUUUAAUUAGAGUUUAGUUAAUGUUCUAUUAGAUUUAGGAUUUUGUUAUUACAAUUUCCAUUCUACCUUCCACAGUCAGGUGUUUGGAGCAUUCUCAAGUAAAACUUCACAUAUUACAACACUAUACUUAUUGCACAAAACCUUGGAAGUUGGAUUUUGUUUCAUUAAACUUUUCUAACAUACUAGUGUUUGGUUCUUUUGUAGUAGUCCUUGAACCAUCUGCAAGGGUCAUAUGUGGCACAUGUCUAAUACUUGCUUCUCUCAAUCAAACAACUUCUUACUAUAAACUAUGAAUUUUUUAUUUAACUUCUUCAGUUAUAAAUUAAUAUGAGAUUCUUUAUUUGAAUUGCAAAAAAAUACAAUCUCCUCUUAUAAAUUAUCCAUAAGAGCUCAAAGAUCUAUAAGAGUUGCCACUCUAUUUUCUACUUAUAAAGGUGCACCUCCUAUGACCUUAUUUACUUCUAUAUUAUAAAAUAAAUAGAUGAAAUUGAAUGAAAGAAGAAGAAAUUGUUAUAUAUUUGAAAAAAUUAUAGUACUACCUAUAAUUAAAAAUAAUUUAGAAAAAGAAAUAAUAUUAAAUAAUCUCAAUUUAGAUGAGGAUAACCAAAGGUCGACCAUUUCUGAGACAAGGUCAAAAUCAGACCUCUAGCUACUAAAACGACCAUUUAGGACAAAAUAGGAUUUCAUUUGAAGAUUAAAGAUUAGGAUUUGAGAGCUAGGUUAGAACUUCUUCUAAAAACAUAAGAUUGAUUUUAGUAGGAUUUGGAAAGUGUUAGCAAUUAUUGUUGGAAGUCAAGGUUUGUAUUGGCAACUUGAGAUUUAUGCAAUGAAAUUAGGGCUAGCUCUCUCACCUAGUUUGUAAAAUUGGUAUCACAUCUAUAAUUUAAAUUUUUAUAAUGCUUGGAUAAUUAGGUAUUCUAAGUGUAUGUAAAAUUUUGUAAUAAUCCAACUCUACAAUUGGAAGAUAUAUGGAUUUUGAUACAAGCACAUAUCGAAAGUUGGCAGUUUGGGGUUGAAUAGGAUUUUUAUGAUAUCUAAAGAUCUACUUGUCGAAUCAAGAUGAAAUUUGGCAUGGUGUUGAAAGACUUGCAGAUCAAGUUGAAAACCAAUUUUGAGUCAAAGUUAACAAUUAGAGAAGGAGAAAUCACUACUAUAAUUUUUGCUUCACCUUUCAAGUUGGCGGCUAAGUGACAUUAGUGGAAUUAUUGGAGGUUUUCUCACAAUCUCUAAGUUGGAUUGGGCUGAAAAUUCUUGAGCAUAUGGAAGAUUUAUAUUGACAAUUUCAUGCAAAAUUUUACAUGAAAAAGACGGUCAAAUUAGAAGUUACAUCUUAUCAAAGCUCAUGGUUAGGAUUGAGGCUUACAAGAAAAAUCUAAAUUACUUAAAUAUGAAAGUAACAAAAUAAUUGAGAUUUAUGUGUGAACAAGGCUACUAAAAAGAGUGUGUUUUAGUACUUUUGAAUCAGAAUUUGGAUUAUAUUCUUUUCAUAUGGAUAAAAUCUAUUAGGAUUUCUUAGAUGUUUACAAAAUACAACCUCAUCUUCCAUAGCUAGGUGCCUAGUGCAUUUCUAAGUAAGAUAACAUGUAAUACAACAAUGUCAUAUCUUUUAGACUUAUAAAUGCACUAGCAAUUUUUCAACAACUAAUUAAUGAUAUUUAUUGAUAAUUUUUAGAUGAAUUUAUUGUCUUUUACCUAGAUGAUGUCUUAAUUUAUUUUAAGAAUAUAAAAGAAUAUGAACUUCAUGUUUGUCAUGUAUUAAAAAAACUAAGAGAUGGGAGACUCUAUACCAAGAUAAAAAUUUGAGUAUUCUAUAUUACUUAGGUCGGCUUCUUAAGAUACAUCAAUUCAAAUGAUAGACUUAUGAUGGAUCUUUAAAAAAUUUAAACUAUUAUAAAUUAGAAGAUUCCAAAAAUAAUAAGAGAUGUCUAAUAUUUUUUUGAGAUUUGCCAACUGCUGUCACAUCUUCAUCAAGAACUUUUUUUUAAGUUGUAGCUCCACUUACAUGUUUGACUUAUAAAACAAACUUCAAUGAAAUCAAGAGGCGAAAGUAGCAUUUAAAGCUUUGAAGACAAUCAAUCUUAUAUCAUAUCAACUUUUUCAUUUAUGUAUUUUUGUACCAAUCUUAUAUUGCAUCAAUUUUUUUAAGCCAAUUUUAAUGAAAACAUAUGUAUUAAACUUUACUUUGAGUGUUGUAUUAUCACAAAUGUGAAUAUAUAAUAAACUUCAUCUCAUAACUUUUCAUUCAAAAAAAAAUUUAAUAGCCAAGAUCAACUACAAAAUUCAUGACAAAGAACUUUCUUCUAGAAAGAAAAGACUGAUCAUGUGUUCUUCAAGAAAGUCAAGAUUUUUUAAUGGCCAAACAUUUUAGAUACAAUAAGACUUUAGAACUUAUAUCCAAAGAUUUUUGGUGGCUAUAAAUAUAGAAGGUAGCCAAAGACUUUGUCCAAUCAUGUGAUGUUUGUUCAAGGUCAAAAACUCCUCAUCAUUGAUCCUACAGACUUUUCUAACCAUUAUUCAUUCUAAAACAAUUAUAGCCUUCUAUUUCUAUAGAUUUUAUUAUAAAUCUUUUAGUCUUAGAUUCUUAUGACUCUAUAUUUGUGAUAGUAGAUUAUUUCACCAAGAUGGUACAUUUUAUACAAUAUACUAAAGCUUUCACAUGUGAAGAAAUAGCCGAGCAUUUCUUUGAAAAUAUCUAUUCCUAUCAUGGAUUACCUAAAGAUAUUAUAUUGGAUAAAAAAACUCAGUUUGUAUGAAGAUUUUGGAGAAUACUUUUCAAGAUUCUAAAAGUGGAUAUAAAACCAUCUUCAAUUUUUUAAUCUCUAGUUUUUGUGUCUUUUGGCAAUAGCCAUUCUAGUUUAUUUUUUGAUAUACAUACUUUUCUAUUUUUAUUUUAUUAUAUUUCUUUGAGAGAGUCUUACUUGUUUAUUUGCUUUUAUCAAGUUUUUUUUCCUUGACAAAGGGAGAUGCAUAAGACAUAAGCACCAUUCAUUCAUUUGUAGUACUUGUGAUCACAACUACUUGAGCUCACCACCAAGUAUAACCACAAGAGGAUGAUGCAUGCAUUUGAAGAGCACAUAAUAGUAAAGAGUGAAGUUAGAAGUCAUGCACAAGACAAGAGCAUCAUUCAUUUAUUAGAAGUAUUUAUAAUCACAACAACUUGUGAUCACCACCAAGUGUCACCAUGAGAAGAAGAUACUUGCAUUUAGAGAGUAUGGAAUAGUAUUAAGUAAAAUUAAGAAUUAUACACAAGACACAAGUACCAUUCAUCUACUGGUUCCAUUUGUGAUCACAACCACUUAUGGUUAUCACCAAGUUCAACCACAAGAAGAUGAUGCUUGCAUUUGAAGAAUAUGAGAUAGCAAUAAGUGAAGUUAUGAGUCAUGUACAAGACACGAGUACCAUUCAUUCAUUUGUGGCACUUGUAAUCACAAUUACUUGUCAUUACCACCAAUUUCAAUCAUAAGAGCUAGAUGUAUGCAUUUAGAGAGCAUGGAAUAGUAAAGAGUGAAGUUUGGAGUCAUGUAUGAGAUAAGAACACCAUUCAUUCAUUUUUGGCACUUAAAUUACAACCACUUAUGAUCACCACGAAGUUCAACCAUGAGAAAAGGAUGCAUGCAUUUGGAGAGCAUGAAAUAGUAGCAAGUGAAGAUAAGAGCAAUGUAUAAGUCACGAGCAACAUUUAUUCUUUUAUGGCACUUAUAAUCACAACCACUUGUAAUCAUCACCAAGUGCAACCACAAGAUCAUGAUGCAUGCAUUUAUAGUCUAAGGGAUAGCAUCGACUGACGAUACAAGGCAUAUAUAAGACACAAGUAACAUUCAUCCAUUUGUAGCACUUAUGAUUAUCACCAAGUGCAACCAUGAGAGGUAGAUGCAUGCAUUUUUAGAGCAAAGAAUAGUAUUGACUAAAGAUACGAAGCAUAUAUAAGACACGAGCAUCAUUCAUCCAUUUGUAAUACUUAUGAUUACAACCACUUAUGAUCACCACCAAGUGCAAUUACAAGAGGCAGAUGCCUGCAUUUAUAAAGCAUUGGAUAGAACCAAGUAAAGAUAAAAGUCAUGCAUAAGAUACAAAUACCAUUCAUUCAUUUGUACCACUUGUGAUUACAACCACUUAUGAUCUCUAUUAAGUACAACCUCAAGACCAAGAUGCAUACAUUUAGAGAACAAGAGAUCGCACCAAGUAAAGAUACGAGGCAUGUAUAAGAUAUGAGGAACAUUCAUCCAUUUUUGGCACUUGUAAUCAUAAAUACUUGUGAUCACCACCAAGUGGAACCAUAUAAGGUAGGUGUAUGCAUUUGAAAAGCAUUUGAUAGCAUCAAGUGAAGAUAGGAGUCAUGAAUAAGUCACAAGUACCAUUCAUUUAUUUCAAGUAAAGAUACAAGACAUACAUAUGACACCAAUGUUAUUCAUCCAUUUCUAGUACUUGUGUUCACAACCACUUGUAAUCACCACCAAGUGCAGCCAUGACAGGAUGAAGCAUGUAUUUGAAGAGCUUGAGAUAGCACCAAAUGAAGAUACAAGGCAUGCACAAGACACAAACACCAUUCAUCCAUUUGUAGUACUCAUGAUCACAAUCACUUAUGAUCACCACCAAGUACCACCACAAGAAGAUGAUGCAUGCAUUCAAAGAGCAUGGGAUAGCACUGAGUAAUAAUAAGAGUCAUGCAUAAGAUACAAGCACUAUUCAUUCAUUUGUAGCACUUGUGAUCACAACUACUUGUAAUUACCACCAAAUGCAACUACAAGAGCCAUUAGAAUUGUCAUAAAAAAUCAAUUGUAUAUGAGUCAAAACUUGCUCAAAUUGGAUCAAAUUUGCAUACCAUGUUUAGGAUUUAAGGUUUAGGAUUUAAGAUUACAAGAAUGUUUCUAGUUUUUGGGCAUCAAUAUUUUUGAAUUUUGACUUGAAAUGUUGUAGAUUUGUUUCAAGAAAGCCAAAUCUUUGAUUGUUAAUUUUCUAUGCAAACUUCAUCCAAUUUGAUUAAAUUUUGGGUCAAAUGAAACAAAAAAAAUUUAAGGCAAUUCCAUUGGUAUAUAGCAUGUUUGUAGGUAUUUUGUAAAUCUCUAGCUAUGAAUAAAAAUGUAUCACAAAUUAGUUUCAAGAAAGUGAAAUCUUUGAUUAUUAAUUUUGUAUACAAACUUAAUCCAAUUUUAGCAGCGUUUAAUUCUAAUAUGACUAAUUUUUUAAGGCAAUUAUAUUGUUAUAAAGUAUAUUUGUGGAUUUUUUAUAAAUAUCUAAUUAUGACCAAAAAUAAAUUGCAGGUUUGUUUUAAAAAAAUCAAAUCUUUGAUUGUUGAUUUUGUAUCUAAAUUAGAUACAAUUUUAACAAGUUUUGAAUCUAAUGUGAUUGAUUUUUUAAGUUUAUUCUAAUGGUAUAUAGCACGUUUGUGGAUUUCUUAUAAAGCUCUAGAUAUGAACAAAAAUGUAUCAAAGAUUUUUAUUAAGAAACCAAAUCUUAUAUUAUUGAUUUUGAAUGCAAUUUUUGUUAUAUUGUUUCAAUUUUUGAAUCUAUUGUGAUUAAUUUUUCAAGGCAAUUAUAAUGGUAUAUAUCAAGUUUAUGUUAAAUUAUAUUUUUUUUUAUUAUAACCUCUAAAUCCAAAAUCCUAAGAUUUCAAAGUCAACAUGAAAGUAAAAAGUCAAAACCUUUAUAUUUUUCAAAUGGAAGUAGCAUAAGUAAAUGUUUUUACACCAUUGAAAUUAUAACCUUUGAAAAUAGAAGAUAGUUUAAUUCAAAAUCCCAAAAAAAGUAUGUCAAUUUUUUGGAAACACACAUAUAAUCCUAAACUUUAAAAGACAAUAAAAAUUACUUCUAACAUCUAAGGAAUUCUUAGAUCAAAUUACAUAAUUUCAAUAUAAUAAGUGAAAUGAAAUAUAGUUUGCAAGUAGAAUUAUUAUAUGAUGUUAUUUUAAAUUACAUAGCAAUAUAUACCAUGUUUUUGCUUAAUAUAAAAGUAAUUGUUUUGAACUUCUUUUUUCUAUUGUAAUAGCUUUUGUUUAUUUGUCAAGCUAUUUUUAAAUUAUUUUACAUAAUACAAGUUUUAUUUUAUUUUAGAACUAUUUAAAUACUAUUUUUAUCAAAAUAUAUUAAAUAAAAACAAUUAAGUCAAGUUUUUUACUAAGAAACCAAAUAAGUAAAAAUGCAACAACAAAAAAAGACAUUUAAAACUUUUGAAAAAACAUCCAAAUGUAGAAAAUAAAAAUAAAAAAAUUUGUAGAAGUAGGACUAAUCCAAUAUAGCUUUUUUUAUUAGAAAGAGAGUGACAUAUAUUAUUAGGUUCUAUAUAACAACUUCCAGAUUUUAUUCAGGAUACAAACCAUGCAAUAGAAUACAAAAUUUGGACAAAUAAUUAAACCUCCUACCUAUUAUCUACCAACUACUACUAGACCUUACUGCAACAAGAUAGAAAAUGAACCAUUUUUCUAAUAAAAUUAUGUGUUCUGUCUUUCAAUUAUAUCUUAAGUAGGCCCUCCACAUAGUGGAAGUGGUCAUUCAUAUCCAGAAGGUUCCAAGUUGGAAUCCAAGAGGUGGGACUAACUUUGGAUCAAUCCUUCCUUAUAUUUGUCAAUCCAAGCUAAAAUAUUUUAAAACAUUAAAUUGUUCUUUGGACUUCUCUCACCCUUAGGCUACCUUCUCUAAAGAUUCUCUCACCUUUAGGCUACCUUCCCUAAGGCUUCUCUCAUCAUCUUUGGUUUAUAAGUUACCACCUUGAGAGAGCACAUUAAAAAAAUUCAAUCUCUCCAUUGCCCAAUCUUAGGACAGAUUCUUGGUACCCAUAAUUUGCCAACAGCCAUGAGGUAGUGAUUCUACUAAUAACUAUUCUCGGUCAACCUUCACCAUUAACUAGGCCACAAAUCAGAAGAUCAUGACUGAUACCUGGUGCACGUGAUUUAAAAAUCACUGGACUGGAUUAAGGUAAUCCGCCAAUAAUACAUUUGGAAGGACGGUUGGCUUUUACCCUGAACAUCUGAAAUCUGCCUUGAUUACCUUCCAAGUUCAAAAUUUUACUUGAGAAUACGGGAUUGGGUUUGGACCAUAAAAGCUAUGGCUCCUGAAGUAAAUAGCCUUCUGUAAACAGAGGGUGCACAACUAGAGUGGAACUGGUUAGAGAAAGCCGCAACAUUGUGAGAGGUUCUACCCUUCCUUCCUCUAGACUUGGGUAGUUCAAAAUUCACUGCAAGGUAAUACACCAUAUUAUGAAUUUAUAAAACUAGGGACAGUAACUGGAAAAUACUUCAAAAUACCUGUUGUAUUUUUCAAUGCAUGGUCGAGAGAAUUUUUAUUUUCUAGUAUUGAGGAAGGGUAUGUCCAAAAGAUCAGAGUAGAUGUCUUUAUACAAAAAAAUUAAAAAAUACGCUUACUCCUUGACAUCUAGGGUUAAUGAAAAAUACUUCAAAAUACCUGUCACAAAUCAGAAAACUACCUAGGCUAGGUCUACAAUCUACACAGGUUUAGGGUAAAUCCCCAUGUGGAAAUGUGCUUACAAAGCUAUUCUAAAGUUACCAACAUCAAGGCAGGUCAUCUGAUUAAAUAAAUACCAUUUCAGGAAAUCAAAUCAAUUGAUGACCAACAAAUUAGAGAAAAAUACUACUUACAACUUACAAAGUAACGAGUCUAAAAUUACAGAAAUAGCUGACAAAAUUAAUAAGUGCAUAAAAUCCAGAUCUAACAGUAGUGCCUCAUCGAGGAUAUCAACUUUGUGACGAUGCCGAAUACUCAAUCAGCAACCGAUUGUCAACAGACGGUAUAGAGGAGAAAAGUACACGCAACUUGCUGUUGAGCUGGUAAAGCAAAGUCCACUGUGUAGCCAUUUCUGAUUCCUUGAGCUGGCGCACAACGGAUGCCUGCAAACAUACUAAUUUGUUAACUGGUAUUUAUAACAGACAAACCCCGAAGUUUAGACAAAAUCAGUCAGAAACAGCAAUCACUUUUUCCAGACAUGAUUGUAUAAUUGCAUUCAGAUAUAGAAAUAGCUACUGCAAUGUGUAAAAAAAGCUGAUGUCCUUGAAAAUUCAACGAACAUGACGACACUGACCAAUUGGUUAACCCCCGGACAUAACCAGUUCAGCAAUGUCAACCAAAACAAUGCAAGGUGGACUAGCUUUCUAACUAAAGCUCAUCAGAUACGGAACCUACAGAUAUCUUGCAAUUGGUACACGCUGAAUCCUAAGCCCUGGACCCUAACCCCUGUUUGUAGGAAUUGCAAAGUAAGAGCAAAUUCGCAUAAGUAUGAAUGCUAAGUCGCUCAAGCCAUUGCUAAAUGACAAACCCCAGUUUGACAUCUGCACAAUGUUGUUGCUUUCGAGUAAUGUGCUCAUUCAACAAUAAUUGAUUAGUGUAAUUAGUUACGUUAAAAAAUACUAUAUUCAACUUCGGUCAUUCCUUCUUUGAAUGCAUGCGCGUAAACUAAAACCCUGGAAUGUAAAAAAAAAAAAAAAAAAAAAAAAACGUUCAUCCAACCCCAGUCGGAAACUUGAAACAGAGUGCCAUCAAACACUGGAUAUAUAUAUAUAUAUAUAUAUAUAUAUAUAGAUACACGAAAAGAACAGUCUCCAACCAGUAAAGAUUGAGGAACCUACCUGUAAAUGUUUUCCCAAUUGCACCUCGACUUCGGCGCCAAAAGAGAGGUUGGCCAAAGACUUGAAAGGAUCUGUUGUUGGGUCAAGGGAGAGUAGAUUGGGGACCUGAGGUGCUGAAACCAAGCGCCAUCGUGCUUGCCCAAACUCUCCUUUUGUUUCAAUUUUGGGCAUGAGAGUCUCAACAGUAGCUGCCGCUAGCUUCUUAAACGCGAGCUGUCCAUCUCCUUCAAGCAAAGAAUCUGCUAGUUGACUUUCAAACACACGUGCAGCCUACAUAACGCAAGAGAUAUAGGUGUUAAGACAUACUGUCAUCUUCAGAUAUAAUCACUGCUAUUGAGCAGCUAAAGAAAUAAAGGACUAACUACAUUUUCUGGCAAGCACUCGAGCUCCUUCUCCAAUAGUAUCAUAUAAAAGCCAUCAUACUAUUGGAACUUUUGCAAAAUUCAUAGCAAAUUAUGCUCAAGUGAUGGUGCCAGAAGUGACAAAAAGAACCUCAAUAGGGGUAAGAGCAUCCUGUUCGCCAGUGCGAAUAGAUGUCACAACAAGAUUGUCUUGCCAUUUGCUGGCCAGCCCCUGCACCUUAAUCUGCCAAUCUGCUCCCACUAGCGCAAGGUCAAGGCUGGGAUCAAAACCUUGAUCUGGUUCAAAUUUAGCUCUAUUUGCAUGGUCCCUGUUCAGCCGAACCUGUGAUAAUCCAGCACUUCAAUCAGGAAAAGAUUCCACUAUUAAAGUUUACAUAGAAAUAAGUAAUUGGAGUCUACCAUCUGAGUAAAGUGAUGCAUCGCUAUGAUUCUGAGAAUGAAACAUGGUACAAAAAUAAAAAGGUUGAGGAUCAAACCUGGGUAGCAACUAGAUUAACAUCUCCAUUUUCAAAUGUCAAUGUACCCUUUGGUUUCACUCUCGUCGAGUCCGCAAAGCCAUUUAGCUCCAGCUCACCAUUCACCGCAAAAUUAAGGAUCAAAGGGUAUACCAUACGAAGUUCAGGGCCCAGCUGAAGCUUUAAACUUCGAAGGCGUACCGCUAUAGGCGGCUGUGACUUCUGAUCUUUACCUUCAAUAGAGGAGAGAUCGUCUGUCGAAGUACAUCAUCAAACAAAGUCAGUGAUAUUUUGAAGCUCAUCUCAAUAUUCAGUUGAACUCGGGUUUCAAACCAAGAGAAAUACAAGUCGAGGCAAAUAUCAUCUCAUUAUCAUGAUCUCGGCCUCAUCGUCCACACAUUCCACAACCAUCUACUGAAGAAACUCAGCACACAAAUUACGUCUCACCUGAUAUCUUCCUAAUGAGUUUAUCGGGCAAAGGCAACAUCUCGGCAGUUUGGUUGCGAGAAAUAUUUCCAGGUGCUGCCAUUAGAGUAUUUGCCUUGGUGAAUCUGGAGUAGGUGUUAGCUCUUGAUGAAUCUGGAGUAGUUGCUGAAGGCGAGGAAUUUGGGCCUUUCUCCAUACCUUUCUCUUGUGACAGGUAUGCUUCACCGUGGCUUAAUUUCACUAAUCCAGUGACCUCAGGUUCCAAGAGAGAACCCAUCAAACGCAUGUUACUAUCUACUUGCCCACUGCAAACCCCACAUAAGAACAGGAGGAAUCGCGCUAAUUCAGCAUAAAAUAGGAAUAAUAAAAAUGCCAACUUCAACAGAAAACAACAGUAAUCACAGAACCACGGUGGAUGAGUAAUGUACGAAAUUCUACAGAGUGCAAAUACAGUAUUCUACAUGCUUGAUCUCCCAAAACAUCAAUGUAUACUGCCAUACAUGCGCAUGGUGGAAUACUGUUAUCUGCAUGAAAUAACUACAUUAUUGGCUAAGGGUCGUGAAUUAUGGCUUCAGCAAUGAAAUUAACAUCAAAAUGUGAGUUCGAAGUUGCACUAAUCGCUUACCUGAAAGUGUGUCUAGCUCGCACCUCCAAACUAUCAGCCUUAAUUUCAAUGGCUUCUCCAUUGUUGAUUCCUUCAUUGGCUUUUAUGGGUAACUGACCCCGCACUUCCAAGCGGCCACGUCUUCCAACCCGCCCUUCUAGUCCUUCCACGCAUAGCUGAUUGUUUUUGACACAUAUGCUACCGCCCAGAUUGUAGAAAGGCCUUGGCAACACGGGAGAGGAUACAGAGACUUUAUGAAACUUUGCCACGCCAUCAGCAACUGGUUGCUGUACUGUUCCCCUAAUCUAAUUACAUCCCAACAAAGUACCAUGAUUAUCAGAGAUUCUUGCAACUGACAUCCAAACAAUUUGCGGUAAACGCAACAAAGAAGAGAAUUUCUCUAAGGAAUGUACAUCAUAAUCGCACAAUAAACGUCCAUAAUAUUCAGCCUAACUAGACUCAUUCUUAAUUUCAAAAAAACAUGGAGUGUUGACAUGGAACUCCAGCAAGAGGAAGGUUUCAGAAACCAAGAGCACCACAUCAGGUUGCAUCAAAAGUGCCGCUCUCUACACAGCCUUCGAUAUCAAAUUAACACACUCUCCUAAGUACAAUAUGCGCAAUACUAAAAUAAGAAUCCACCCACGAAUGAAAAUAUUUAAAUGCCCGACAACAGCCCAAAUCCAACUACGACUCUAUACUCCAAGAUAACUUUGAUAUAACGCAAAAGAUACGAAGUGAUGCACGGUUGAUCCAAGCAUCAAAACUAUUAAAAAUUUAGUAAAAAAAUUGUUGAUAUCAUAAUGUUUACAUGAUAUAGUUGUAAAACAGUCGGCAAACAUUCAAAACAGACACGGUAGGAUUUCAAUCAAAUAGGACUUGGUCGCCAAUGGGGAAGGUUCGAGAAGGACAACACAUCAGCCAGAAAGCAACAACAUAACAAACACAGCUAGAUUUGCAAAAACGGUGAGACAAUCAUGAAAAGAAGGUAGGAUAUUUCAGGUUGAAGGCAAUUGGAGGAGGUGCAGGACAUUUAGGAGAAAUAAUGAUGUGAAAUACCUGCGCAGUCACAUCAGCGUAACCCUGGAUCCAUUGUAAAUUUGGAGAGAAAGCUGUAAGCAACAUCAUACCCCCAUCCUUAACAGCUGCAUCUAUCUGAACAGCACCAGAAUCGACAAAAUCCUUAUCCAAAGGUUUUAAGCUCUCAGCCAAUCUCACUUCCCAUCCUUCUUCACCACCCCCACUUCUGUCCUGUACAUCACUGACCACGUUGUCAUCGUCUUCAACAUCUCGUUCCCGGCUUCUUUCCCAACCCCGUCCCCGCGCCCUUCUAUGCUUCUUCCUUUCCCUACCUUGCUCCUCGUCCAAUUCCUCUCGCAAUUCAUCCAGGGUUUCCUCUGGACUCAUAGGCAGACUUCCUCUCACGCGGACAUGACCAGCAUGCGUAAUUGGCUCAAAGACGGCAUUGAAGGCUAAUCGAUUUGCAGAAGUGAUAGACGCUGCGACUUCAGCACGACCCAAACUGACUCCUCCAAUAGCACCAUCCAGAAGUCUGAUUUGGACAUCACACUGGGGUUUAAUCAUAUGACCCCUCAGGUCACCCUCCAUGUAGAGGGUACCCUUUAAAGAUGGAGGUGAGGACACUGAAGAUGAUGGAAGAGGCUUCUGGGAGCUUGAUUGAAUAGCAUGCAAAAGAGGUGGUACUAGGUUGACAGGGAAGUUUAGAACAGCGAAGUGAAGAUUAGGCUUAGCGCCUAGCACAGUUCCAUCGGCAUGUAGAGUGGCAGUGUCUUUCUGAAUGAAAAAUCGCUCAAGUCGAAGACCGUCAUUGUUUGUAAAGUCACCAACUGCAAUGACACGUUGAGUUCUGUAGGCACCCCACUCCCAAUCCUCCCCUCGGAGAUCAAAGUCCGCCUGUCCCCACCACCAUGAAAAAAUCCUUUAUGUCUGCAACGGCUUAUCGCGAUGCUAGUAAUCUCAACUGUAGUUCCCAACUAUAAAUCUGAGUGUCGUCGAAAUUAUAUACAGACCAUUAAAAACAAAUGAGUUUACCUAUUCCACAUAUGAACUACACAUCAAAAAUAAAGGUUUAGAAAACAAACCGUAGUGUCUCCUUUGCCACCACCAGUGGCUUCAAGGGUACCUUUCCACUUUCCCUUAAGCUCCGCAAGUCCAGGCAAAGGAAGUGCUUCAGGUUCACUUUCAUCCUCGGGGUCACCAGCUUUUCUGCUGCCGAUAUAAUCCAGCAGUUCCUUUGCAUUAUCUGCAGAAAAACCUGCGUUUUGUACUCCUUGCAGAAAUAUUUCUUUUGAUCUAGACACAACAGCAGGAUCACUGCUCCGCGACAAAAGACGAGCAACUGGUAGCAUUUCAGAAACUUCUGCUUGAGGUACUUCAAGGCGCAAGCGCCAGCGUCCCAUCGAAGUGAUGAAUGUGCCUAAUUGUCCUCCCAUUGCUUUUUCCAACAUCACUUCUUCGUCUCUCUCUUUCUCUCCAGCACGUUGCCCUCGUAACACAUACUCUCCUUGCAGUUCAUACUUACUAUACGCUUGCUCAAGUACCGACUUCUCCAGCGUCACCUGUAAAUAAUUCCCUCACAAAUACCAUUAGGCCACUGUAUGACUUCAAAAGCAAUCCACAACUCUUAUUUGGUAUACGAACUUGAAACCUCUUUUCUAUGAGGAUAGCAAGCACAAAGAGUAUUAAUGAAAAGAAAGCCAAAUCUGUUACCUACCACAUCUCCAGACCAGCGAGCUGCCAAAUCAAGAGACUCUCCUUGUAGGCCGCUAAAACGUGGUUGUUUGACAUCAAGGCUCCCUCGUCCUUUCCUUCUGAGAAGAUCCAAAGACAUAUCCGCCUGUAGUUCCAACUACUAUUAAGCAAACUUACAAUCCUUUAAAAUGAAUUGAGCAAAUUCCAAAAUUUUAUCAUCAAAGUUUAAAGUUAUAGUAGAAACGACGUGACAAAUAUAUAAAGAUCUAUAUAAUGGUCAUAGCGGUAGCGGACACAGCAGACAGAAGCUGACUAAGCAAUGCUUAAACUUAACCAACCCCCACCCCACUUCCUCUGAUUCAGCAGUACCUUAUGCACUGCACCUCGCAAAGACGCUAAUUCCAACUCAUCAAGUUGCAAGUUCCGAACCUACGCCAACAGAUUUAGCUGCCGUUGCUUAGACUCAGGAUAGAAAAAAGUACUUGUACAGUAGAACUAAGAAGCACCAAGAUUACAAGACUACAUUUCAAAACAGAAUAUAAACAUCACAAUGAUACAAAAUACUCCGAAAGUAAUUAAAACUCAUCAAUUUCAUCUGUUUAAAUAGCAAGGUGCUAUAUUUAUCGCACGACAAAAGGGGACAACCUAAGGACGAAUUCAUCAGUCAAAUUUAUAAGUAGCGCUUGCAUACACAAAUGAUAAAAUCCUUUAAAUGUUUAAUAGCAGCCAAAAAUACACCACCAGGAUUUCCAAAUGCCAACAUAUUCAUAUGCAGAAAAACAUGCUCUUCCAAAUCGUACCUCAAGCUUUGCAGAAUUCCCUGGUCGAUACUGAAGAUUGGUGCGGAGGUGCCCCCUUUCUAACGAAAACGACAAUCCCUUCCGAGACCUUUCACCAGACGAGGGCAGCAAAAGUUGUCCAUCUGUGGAGGAGUUCCGGUCUUCCUUCAUGUCAAAAACUUGCACACGAAGAUGCUCGUUGAUCCUGCCGGAAGUAUCAAGCUGCAUAGAUAGUUUACAAUUUAGCAAACUAUAACAAAGAAGGAAGUAAAAGGGAAUUUGUCAUAAUAGAAAGUGGAAACAAGGAAGAUAUAAAUUUCCAGCUAAAGUAUAUUCAACAGCUUCAGCACAAAAUAGCAUUAGUUUUUUAGAAGAGAAAAAUUAUAUUUCAUACUACAGAUGGAAGCAUACAAGCUCACACACCUAAAAACUCACCUUUAAAGCAGUAGGGGAAAUGUGUAAUGAACCGAUAAGGUUUGGAGCAACCACAAAUUGAUUAAGCUUCAGUCCCGACAAAGACACGUCCCCGAUCAUGUUUGUGAGAUUCCUCUCCAAUGAUAAAUCAGAUUGUAAGCCCUCCAGCGAUGAUGUCUCCUUAUCAGGAACGUGGCCAUCGAAUUUUAUCUUACCAUAAACAUUCAUAUGCAUGGACUGAGGAGGAGAAAAAGCUUCACCAAAGCAAAGAGAUUGAACACCCAUCAGAUCAAAACCAUCCAGUCGCAUAUCAACUUCCAACCCAGUUACUGAUGGCAUAGUAGCUAAUUUCACUUUUGGAACCCGAGGACCACAAUUUCGUACUAUGGGAGGGUAUCUUGUAUGAACUGUAGUCGUUAAAUUAAAAGAAGAUGCCAACGAGUGCAGAAUGAUGGCUUCUCGAGAAAUGUGGACAUCUCCGCGACCUUCAUAAAAGGCACCUUGUGCCUCCGGUGUAGCCCAUUUAAUGUCAAAAACUCUGUCUUGCACAACAAAGAUCCCACAAUUUUCGAGUAUGUCAAAUAACAACUAGAGUUGACAGAAGAAACAAUUUUAAAUUACAAAUAUGUUGAGGUCCUAACCCAGACGAGGUAAGAUUAGUAGCGCUUACAAAUCCUUUGGAGAAAAGAAAAACAAAAACCAACAAAAAAUCAAUAAAUUAAUUAAUUAAUUAAACAACAAAUAGAAGAAGAGGAAGAAGAAACGAAGGAAGAAGUAAAGAAAGAAAUAGAGAAUAGAGAACUUGUAUCCCUUUCUGUUUACAUCACUUUCGCAUCAAAGAAAACAAUGUGCAGAUAAAGUGCUUUAGUUCCCUCAGAUAUCCAGCAAGACGGCAAAAAGGUCAUCAGAUCUUGUAUGAAAAUGUAGAAGGAAGGCGAGACUGUACGGCAUUAGCACCGCUCCACGAAUUUUAGCCUCCACCUGAGUAACUCCAAAACUAGAAGGAGGAAUCUCGACACCUGAUGGGGCAUAAAAACUUGCUAGAGAAUCCCCUGCUAUGGACCCAGAGCAAUCCACGUUUACAGCAGUUGAAUCCAUCUCACCCUGCACAACAGAAGUAUAGAUUGAGAACUCUCAAUCAGAACUUUCCAUACAAAAUACAGAAAUCUUUCAGAGAGCACAAAAUUUCUGAGAGGGAAAAAAAAAAAAAACGGGUGGGACUUCAAACCUUGCAAAAGCCCAAAAACAAAUUCAGCAACCAGGAGAAACUAUAAACAUUGUGAAAAAAAACUAUUUGACACAACAGGAAGUAAAGUUAAUUAAAUUAAAUUAAACCCAAUGUCAUCUGUCAUAUCCUGAGUACAAUAUCACUGCCCUCAGUAUUCAGUCCUUCCAUCAUUCCUAUAACAACAGUCCACGAGUUUCACUCUCUUCACUCUUUUCCAUAAGAAAUUUCGGCUUUUCAACCGACUUAAAAAGUUUUUUAGAUGCAGAAAAAAUAGCUCUCAUAAAAAUGGCAAGUUAGCUUCAAAUUGAACACGCAAGUUUUGUAAGAUGUAAGACAAGUAUAACAGCAAGGAUAACAAAUGAGUAUAGAUGACGAGAAGGAACAGACACAUGAACACUUCACAGCAACAGAUUAAACUACAAGAAUCUCCUCGAUCUAUUACUUGAACACACACGAUUCAAACCUCUGGGCAGAUCCACAGACUUCCAGCUCCACGAAUCUCACCCCCACCAACCGGACAUGCUUUGAGUCCAUACAAAUCAGCCAUCUGCAGAUGCACUUCCAGUGACGAAUAAAAAAAACAUUUUCUUAUCCAGAUAUACUUCAUAGAAACACAUCAAAUAUGUCGGCAACCUGAAAUACCCUUAUAGGCGAAAAUGUGAGCUCUACCCCGUUGAAGACAAGUAGACUCACCCCAUUGUCGGUAUUGAAAGUAAAACUUGAGGAAGCAGACACGAAGGGUACACGAUCAUAAGCAGCUACCGCACCCCUCUCAAGGUUUUUCCGGACUGCAUCGAUAGCAGCUGACGGGGGUGAAUCAUAAGUCAGUGUCAUAUUUCUGCCAGUUGUUUCAACACUGCCUUCAAAAAUUGGGCUGUCCAGUGGGCCCCGACAAUAGACAACACCCUUCAGAGACCCUGCCAGCUGCCAUAGUCUGAGUAUCAGUGAAGAUGUUUGAGUUCAUUCGCUUGCACUUACAUAAUACAUUCAUGCGGAAAUGGUCAGCAAAAGAUAAUUCAACCUUCAAUUUGAAAAAGUUAUAAAUCACAGAAACCCCAGUCGGCCAAAGAAAUUACCCACUGAUAUUGAGGAAGGAACCUGAGAAAAGACAAGAAACUCAUGAUAUCAUCACAUGUCACUUCAGCAUCGAAAAUGAAAAAGAAUGGAAAUAAACAAAACGUACAGAUAAAGGAGGUGGCUGCGCACCAAGACUCCUCAUUAGCGCAUUUGCUUCCACCCCUGCAACCUAAAGAAAUGGAUGUACCCCAAUUGGAUAUGUAAGUGAAAGACGAUUAUUGAGUCCUACGUCCACAUAUAUUUUAAAAGAGUAUUGAGUAAACAAGCACGAAGCAAGAAAAUACAAAAAUUUGAACUCCAUUUGAAUUAUGUGAAUUAUAGCCUAAGCUUAAGAGAGCUGAGGCCACCAAACACAAAGAGCGGAACUACACAAGCAACAAUUAAUUGGCAAUUCAAAAAACUUCUCAAAAAUUAAGCAAAGUAAAAUUCUAUCAUGUAAAAAUAAGAUCCUAGUGAACAUUCAUGACACUGACCAACACAAAACUACUUUACUAAUUUUUAAUAAGCAGUCAAUGCUUCAGGGAGACCUGGCAACUGAGGCGGUACUCUCCGUCGUCCGGAUUAAUGUCCAUAUCUCCAGAAACUGUCAAUGGAAUGGACCCAUAUUUUCCAGUAGCAUUGUGAAAAAAUAAGCGCUGUCCUUGAAAGAAGAUUGUGCCACCAACGCCCUGUAAUGUAAAAAUUUUGAACUGGUCAAUUAGGCCAAAACACAUUCAGAAUUUAAACAAUUGGAUACAGGAAAUAAUACAUGAAUAAACAAAACGAACCGUGAAGGAGGCAGGGGCAUCUGCAAUACGGAAGUCAAGCCCUUUCACAUCUAGCCUGCCACCAAAGUUUGGAAACGCGUCUUCCUUCUUCAUCCAGAUUCGUAGCUAUAAUAAAAAAACCAUAAAGGCAGCAAGAAACACAAAAAAUCAACACAUCCAGGUUGAAAUUUCUCUGAUUGUUGAAUAAGACCUAAAACCAACCAUACUCUGACAAGAUUGAAAUCUGCUUCAGCACUAGCUUGUGAGGCUUUUGCAUUCACGCAUUCAAGCCUCUACAUCCUUCUAGUACAAACAAUUAACUUGCCAUGUUACAGCAAUGUCUCAGAAAGAAAAACUUCGGAAAAUAAAUCCACGUGACCUGCUGUAAGCGGUACUAUUGCUUCGUCCUUACAAAUUGUUAAUUUACCUAACAAACUCUAGGCCCAAUUGGUAAGACUGAACUAGCUCAUCGAGCAACUAGAUACAUGGGCAAGAUUUCAUAGCAACUGAACAGGAAAACUCGUAAGUUAAGAUGAGUAAGUGCAAAGUAAAACCUCUCCUGAUGCCCGGCCAUUUGACCACUCCAAAGGUAACUCGAGUAACCUCUCAAAGAGCUGCAUCAUGAAACAGCGAGUAUAGGUGACAAAACUUGCAGCUGUUGGAUUAAGUCAUACAGAUAUUGUUAAAAUACUAUCAGGAGCAAGCUACUAAACGUGUGCAUGUCCUACCGUAAACAUGUGACAUCAUAGUAGGUGUGGCAGGCUUCUUGUAUACACCUAUUGAAGUCAUGCCAGCACCAUGAUAACACAACAAAGUUUGACUAACCAACAACGAGAGCUAAACCAGAUUAACGUGAGGACUUUAAGAACGAAAAACUCCAAAACCUAAAACAAAUACACAUAAGCAGAGGUCCUCACUGGUGCAAAAAUAUUGCAGCUUUUGAGUCUGACAUCCCAGGACUGAUUAGCCAGGUCAACAGCUACUUUCACAAGAAGCCUCCCACCAUUCCCUGUCUUCCCUGUUCGCCAUUCAUUGGGCCUUCCUGUCACCUGCACCAGAAUCUGCUGGUGGUUACCGCUCAGUUUGACAGACCCUUCAACCCUCUCCAUCACCCUGCAAAGAUGAAAAAUGUAAAAGCGGAUCAGUUCAAGUCCGGGUCAAAACUAUGGUCCCGUAUUGCACUUGAACCUCGCCGGAGUAAAUAAUCACGUUUACAGUACUUUAAUCACUUCACAAUUUACUGCACCUUCUUUGAUAUUAUCAAUUUAUAAACUCUUGAUGGAAGUGCACAGCAUUGUUCCAAUAUAAAAUCUUAGCGGCAUAUCAAUGCCAUAUGCAAAAUGACAGCUCCAGUGUGCUUCCAGGCACCAUGCUUACCCCCAAGAACGAAAAUGUGACAGACUAUCACAAAAAUAACGAUGACAGAGUAAAACCAUCAUACAUGGUGCUUCUCAGUUAAUCAUAACAACGUCGCCACUGCCAAAAAUUCGCCGACUUAAAACAAAUUUAUAAAUAAAUGAGAUCGGAGACGCUAAAUUGUACACAAAUAUGAAGUUCGUGUACAGAACAAUAACUUUCUAAACCGAUUACCAGACCAUUAAACAGAGUAAAAUUUGGAAAAUGCAUCAUAGACUCUCUAGAAUGAAUAAUUAUCAGAUGACAUUCCCAAUGUGAAGUAAAAGAAAAACAAUUACAAGAACUUCUCUUUGGGGUAAUUGCAACACUUGAGUAAUAAGCUAAGCAUGUCGAUGACGAGCAAAUAGAGAUAAUGCAACAACGGAGGCUUCAUACCUAGGUUCUUCAUCACCAUACCCCAACAAGGAAAGCGUUCCUUCCUUGAUAUACACAGAGUUUAAGGCAAUUGGCGUCCAUCCAUUAGCUCGAGAAACAUCUACCCGCCUCUUAGCUUGUCUCACAAGUCUGUUAGCGAGGCUUUUGACCUUUAUUGUCAACGACAUCCCAUGCCCUUCAUCCUUCGUUGAUCCAUGAUCCCAAAGCUCAUCAAAGGAGCUCAUCCCAGUUCCUUUCAAAGUAGCAGGAGAAGUUUGGUCCGUUCUUGAUGUCUGCACAUUCCCACCUUGUCUGCUCUGAAAUGCAUGAUGAUUCGUCACUGAUGCCACCAAGCCAUCCCCAAUUUCCUUAGUGUUUACAAAUGAUUGAUUGUUCUCCAUCUGAAGAAUAUUGGAAGAAACUUUCUCUAAAUCAGAUUUCAUACCGCCUCCUUGUCCCUUAAUUCCACUAUUCCUUGCAGAAAGGAGCUUUCGCCUUUUAUCUCGAUCGAUCUUUUCAAACAUGCCGCGACAAGCUAUGGCACUACGUUGGAGGUUCCAGUUUUGAUAUUCAGACUUUGAGAGCACGGAGCUACGCCUUUGAGACCGCAUCUUUAACAGCUUCCUUCUUACGGGCUUCAGAAAAUGCUUUUCAGUCCAGCUUUUCGCUCUCCAGACCUGUCUUUCAAUAUCUUUGGCUAAUAAGGGUGCGUCAAAGUCGUCCUCGCUAAAACCUGCAAUGGUGUUCCUUUUCCCCCUCCGCUCUAUUCUCUGAAAACCACCUUGUUCCUGAGAGUUUAAACUCUCAUCAUCAACAUCUGAUUCGGCCUGAGCAAUCUCCAUAUCGCCCUCAAUACUCCCUAGACUUUCCUUUUCAAUCACAUCUUUGCUUUUUGUAUUGACGGAAUCCACCAUACCUCCCAUUCUAUAACCAGAUUUGCUAGCUUGGCGUGCAGCUAAAUCCCUUUCCUUCAUCAUUUUUAACAAAGUAUCUUCUCGUGCAAUGCGUCUCACUUUGGUGCGAUCAUCAAUACCAGCUUCAGAGCUAUGCCUGUUGGUGGUGGGUUUUUUCUCUGAUAACAUAGGAAUACUCAACCAAGACCAAUCCCGCUUCUGAGCAACAAGCACAUGAGGAUUCCUUAACACAGCAUCCAAGACAACUUGGCCCCUCUUGAGACUCUUUAAUGGUCGGAAAUGAAUUUGAAUUGCUGGAAUUCCUCCACAGGAAAAUUCCUCUGCAUGAGGUCCGAUAGAACUUGUACCAAGAGAUACGGAUAAGAAGGACAACCGUUCCACUUUCCCAAGCCUCACAUCCCGACCCAAGUGCGUAGUUAAAAUUGAAGCCAGGGGAGGCAGGAUAUUGCGGUCCAUAUACAGCUGAGCCCGCAAUUGUGCAUAGCGUGCGCUGGCUACGAGCAACAACAUUGCGGCCAGCCAUGAUGCAGCUUUGAUGAAGCGGGCUCGGAAUUGAUGAGCGUGCAGGCGUUGAAGCACGCUAGGAAAAGUAGACACGGUAGGGCGGUUUUGGCGCCACCAAGAGGUUCCUUGAUCAAAGAGGUUAGAGGAGGCGCGUACAGGACGCACAGACGAGGGACGAGAACGGCGGAUGGGGAGGGGAGAAGAGAGACGAGAAAUACUAGUGCGGGAAAGAGAGGAGGAGCGGAGGGUGGAGGAGGCAGGGGAAUAAGCGAGCCUGGCCAGCAUCAUCCCGAGAGAGGGAGGGAAGGAGAAGAGAAGAGGAGGAGGAGAAGUAGGAGGAGGAGAAGUAGGAGGAGGGGGGGGGGGGAUUAAACAAGGAGGAGGGCAGAUGAGGAGGAGGAGGAGGGGGAGGAAGAAGAUAUGAUCAUGGUCGUGGAGAAAGCGGGAGAAGCAGAAGCAGAAGAAGACCAAAGAAUUGCCCUAGCACAUGAACGAACGAGGGCGGGAAGGGAAGGGGAGGAGGAGGAGGAGGAGGCAAUUGAGAAGCCCGGAAAAAGGAAAUGGUGCCGCGCGUUUGUGGAUUCUUCAAUGGAGACGAGAAGUGAAGCUGGAGAAUGACCUUGGGAAUCAAGGGGUCACCACUCGCCACAGCCACAAUUUUUCUCGCUCUCGCUCUCGCUCUCUCUCGUCUCUCUCUCGUCUCUGGCUCGCCCCUCGCGUCUCUCUCGCUUCUCCCGCGCUGGCGUGACUAUGGCUGGCUGGCUCGCAGUGCGCGGACUCAACGCCUGGCUUACUACUACUACUUACCACUACUUACAGUCCAGUCCAGUCCCAGCUCGCCCCGGUCCUCAUCGACCCCACCCCACCCACCCAACAGCAGCAGCAGCAGCAGCAUGGACACGAUGGCCUCCUCCUCUGUGACUCCAAGCAAGCAUGCCCCCCUCAGCCCCCUCCCUCCCACGCUGCUAAGAAUGGGAUGGAUGAAAGUUCUCUUCCGUGGAUGACCUGUUGGGACAAUGCAUGCAACUAGUGGCUAGGGCUGUCCAAAUAACCAUAUGGCUGCAAAGAAAGUCCCUAAACCCAGCCGAAGGGGGAGGGGAAGUGGGGAUUGAUGGAGUGGGUUUUGCCGGAGGAGGAGGAGGAGGGGAAAUCCAGUCCAGUUGUCCGUACACACACACACACACACAAGUAUAUAUAUUCUGAAGUAGGAGAACAUGAAACUAAUUAUCAUUUAUAAACAAUUCUCAACAUGUGUUCCACAUUCUUAUCAAGAUUCCCCAGGAAAUCAAUCUAAAUGUUAAUUAACACACAUUUAAUAGUUUAUUACCUCAUCUGAAAAAAAAUCCUUUUUAUAAAUCAAUUCUCUGCAUUUUGUAUUGAUAAUGUUUGAAUGAUGUUUGAAAAUAAAUAAAUAUAUAAAUACCUUUUUCAAUCCUAUAGCAUGUAACAACAUUGUUUACUGUAAAUUUAAACUUGAGUAGAAAAAAUAUUAUUAAUUCAAUGUUUCAAAAUAAUAUAAUACUAUAAACACCUUAUUCCAUUACAUAAAAAUUGUGGCUUAUCUAACAUCUAACACAAGUGGAAGUUUUGCAUUCCCUUCUACUUAUCAAAAUUUUAUCUUUUUCUAUAAUGAUUUUUAUUGUAGUGGAGUUCUAUAAGUAAUAAAACACACAUUUCUUCUUUUAUCCAAUGUAUAUAUGUAUACAUCUGCAUCAUUCUUUACAUGAUUUCAUAUAUAAUUGAUUAUUUUGUUUAUUUUCAGAAUUUAUAUAAUACAGUAGAUAUUGAAAAGACAACACUAACUAACUAACUAACUAACUAUAUAUAUAUAUAUAUAUAUAUAUAUAUGGUGACAAAUGAAAUUUAGAUUAUUUUAGAUUUGUUAUAUCUUAAUUUAUUUGCAGUACAAAUAUCUAAAAAUAUAUCUAGUAAAUCAUAUAAAAAAUCAAAAAAUAUUAAAAACAUAUUUGUUAUAUGUAAAUUUUUAUCUAUUAAAAUAAUAAAUAAUAGCUCAAAGUGAAACAAAAUGGUACCAAGCCAUGAACAAAUCCUUGAAGUUAGUUAAGUUAUUUUAACUUGGGGUUUAAAUUUGUAGUAUCAAUGCAUAUUAUAAUUAUAGUAAGAAGUAAAACCACUAAUUAAUACAUCUGUAUAUCAAACAAAGUAUAAGAUGUAUAUCAAAUAUAAAAGAAAACAUUUCAAAAUAAAUGUAUUAAAGUUUCAUUUGAAAUAAGAUUGUGUUUUAAUGAAUAUUAAAGUUUCAAAAAUGUCAAAAAAUGAUUAUUUAUUUCUUAAAAUGAUAACUUUUUGUUUGAGAAUAGAAUUAAACUGACUAAAAACAGAAAAAAGUUAGGAAAGUGUUGAAUUGUGUAGCCACAGCUGGUGAUUAAGAAAAGUAGACUUCCACAUGAUAAUUUGUCUCUAGUUCUUUCACAUACAAUGCAUGGAUUAACUAAUUUUUUCAAAUGUAUACUUUGAGAAUUACUUAAUAUAUUGGGCAUGCAAAGUAGAUAUUGACAUUGCCUUUUGGUACUAAUUUUUGUGGAUGCCAAAAAUUGAAAAGUUACUGUAUACACGUAUUUUUGUUAUGAGAACAAUUUACUCAAAACAAAUUGAAUAUGUUGUAAAGCACACUCAAAACACAUUCCAAGCACAAAACCUAUAAUCUUAACAACAGCGAGCAUUGUGCUGGAAGUUGUCUUUAUCAGAUUUACCAAUCUUGAAAGUUUCAAAAUUUUCGAAACUAAUUUGCAGUUCAGAAUUUAAAUUAGUAUCGAAAUUUAAUGUGCUAUCAGAUAUGUUUGAAUUAUCAUGUUCAAUCACUUCAAUAUUAUCAGUUUAUUGUUGUGUUGAAAUAAAUUUCGAAGCAUUACUACUUCUUCAAAGAAUGAUUCUCAAAUAAUGCAAAACACAUUUAGAUUCACAACGAGGGAAAAAAUGAAAACAGAAUAAAAAAAUAUGCAAACAUGAAUGACUCCACAAUCAUUAAGUUGACUAACCACUUUGUGGAUUCACCAACAAAAACUACAUAUUCUAUUAUAUUUUAGUAUUUCUUUAAAGUUUUAAUAUUUUUCAAAUCAUGCAUUAACAAUGAUACAUUAGUUUGUGAGAGUGCUUCCAAAUAAAUGUUUUUUAAAGUACACUACUUUAAUAAAUGACGACUUAAUUUAAUUUGUUUUCACUUGAGUGAAAUAUAACAUGAAAACGGGCUUGACAUUUAGUUCUUUUUGUGAUGUUUCUCAAUAUGAAAACUUAUAGGAAUCUAUGCACUAUUACACUAUUCAAAAGUUUUCAAUAUUAUUUAUUUCACAUCUGAAAUUCAGUAGCCCCAAUUCAAAACAAAAUCGUUUAACUAAACAUUUAUCAUUGAUAAAGAUUUGGACCUUGGAUGUUUCUUAAUUCAAACCCCAGAAAUAUAAUCAGGAUUUAACGUUAGAAAGAUUUACACAAUCUUCUAAAGGCUUAAGGAAAAUCUUUUAACGUUAAGCAAUUAUAUUCUCAUUUCAAAUUUGUCUUUCACUGCAGAGUUUAGAAUCAAUAUGCGAGUUCUAAACUUUGUAUUGAAAUACGAAAAACCCUAGCACAUCCAGAUUUUUUGCAUCUUAUUUUAAAAAAAUGUCAGUCUUGUUAGGGUUCAAACAGUCGAACUCUAAAAAGAGAAGAUGGACAAUUAUGUUCCGUGUUUCCAACUACUAUUUUCGGUUACACAUAUUCAUUGUGGUGCGAGAAUAAAUAGGAAUAUAAGAAGAUUGUAACCACGUAAACAAACAAGUAAUGAGCAAGAAAGCAUUUGAGUCAAACAUGAAUAUAUUUCAUGCAAACACAUUUAUAAUAAACGUGGACUGCCCGCCAAACUGAAACCUACACUUGGCAUGGCUAGGCUUUGUGAUUGAAUAUCACACUUCUCGCCAAGUGGAGAUUCAACCAGGCACUCCAAGCUCGCACCAAAUGAAGGUGGGUGAAAAAUGUAUCGGUCCUCUGACUCUUACACAUUACUUUUUUCUGCUUGAGUCACCCAUGAUUAUAUUAGGGAGUAGAAAACCACGUUUAGGAUAAAAUAUUACAAAAAUAGCACAACGAAUGCUGCAUAGGCUGUGAACAACUUCCAUCUGCUAAGAGCUCGGAGGAUGUUCUCCCUGACCAAAUACCAGAGACCCAGGAAUGUUACUUCUUAAAGUCCAAGUCAGAAUGACAAUGUAAGCUCCUGAGAAACAUCCCCGAACAUUUGAUCACAGAGUGAAAAGUGUUGACUAGAAAUGCCAUCUGGCACAAUCAGAAACCGCCCCUACACAUCUUCUUGUCCCUCUCCGAAUGCCCCUAAUAGCUUCAUGUCCUCUAAGAAUGCAGAAUAAGUGUCAUCUAUGGUUGUCGGCUUAACCACACGAGGAGGUUGCAGAACAGAGGCAACUUGAGCAGAUAUUGCUGAAACAGUCUUAGGCUUUACUUUGGGAGCAUUCUCUCUUCGAACACGGACUGACGCUGGUACCUGCUCCACAGCAGACAGCCACAGAAACAUCAUUUAUGAGUGUCUAAAAUCCCACUUGAGGUGUUAAGAUAUUGAAAACAAAAGAUUUCAAAUUCACCAUUGUAUGAAGAACUGCUAAAUGCUAUCUAAAUAACUUUUCUAAAAGUGAGCAUUCAGCAGAAGUAUGGAAAUUUGGGGAGAUGGAGAAAUUCAACGAUUCCUUAAUCUAAGUAAUGGAAAGAAACCAUGUGAAUUUAGAGGAGAGGACCUACCAUAGAGGUCAGUUCAGGAGUAUGCUGAGCUAGAGGUCUUUUAACAACCGUAGGUGCGGCGGAUUUCACAUACGAAGGCUUUGCAGCCCCACCGGAUCUAACCGGAUCUUCGUUACCUCCCUCAUGAACUACCCUAGGAGGAGGGGGAGGGGGAGGAGUGCCUUUAACCAUCGGAGGAGGUCCAGCAGGAGGGCGCAUAACAGGGGGUGGGCCGGACGGAGGCGGACCAAGUCUCACUGGAGGAGGGCCCGGAGGUGGUCCAGGGGGAGGUAACAUUCCUGAUUGCAACAUCCUCGGUGGGGGAGGUGGAAGAGGCAAGGAUGACAUUUCUGGGGGUAGUGGAGGUCCAGGUAGAGUAGGUCGAAAAGGAGUCACACCAGGAGGAGGAGCUUCUGAAGAAGAUGGGUGUUUUGGAGGAGGACCAGAAGGGGGCCGCAUCAAUAGAGAAGUGGGAAGAGGCGGAGGAGGGCCAACAGGCGGACGCAUUGGAGGGGGAGGUGGUGGUGGUAGGUUUUGUCGAACAGCAUCAGUGCUCCUAGAAUCAGCUGGCGCGUCGUCCUCUAUUUCGUCCUGAAUUUCCUCCCCAGAAGGUAUGGAAGGGCGCCGCGGAGGUGGUGGAGGUGGUGGCAAUCUUCCAGGGGGCUACAAAAAAGUCGAAAUAGCACCUUCAGUUAUGAGAAACGCCACGGAUGAAUAUUGUCCAAAUUACGUGCAUCAGGUGUGGAGAGAAGACAAAGAGAGGAAAGAAAAGAAAAGAAGAGAAAAAGAAACCAGAAGGAGAAAGAAUUCAUGGCAGAAUCAUGAAUGAGCCAAGAAUAUAAACAUACAAAUAAAGACCAAGCGAAAGUUAAAAAUCCGAAACUAUCUUGAAAAUUUGAAAGACUUCAGGAACUUACAAUGAAAUACAUUGUUCUAUGUCGUGAGUUGUCUCCAAGGUCAACAUUCUCCGAUUUUGCAAUAGACGCUUCUUCGUCAGUUCCCGGAGGUACCUCUUCCCUGGAUAUGCCAGGAGGAAGCGGUUGUCCAGGACGAGGUGGCGGUGGAGGUGGUAUCAUUGAAGUUGCAUGAGGAGGUCGACCUAGAAACAAAGGAGGAGGUGGUGGCAGCGUGCCUUGAACAGGACCUGGAGGAGCUGGUGGUGGAGGAGGUACAGGCACUGGUAAUGGCAAUGGGACUACAUUUUCUCCAGCCGAGAAACCUUCUCCAGCAGAAGGUAGUGGAGGAGGCGGUGGAGGAGGGGGAAGGGGUAGGGUUGUGUCUGGGUCCAUGUCCAGGUCCGUUUCACCACUAGGACCUGCAGUACUUGAAAGAGGGAUUCGAGGUCCUGAAGCAAUCACAAUUCUAUUACAACGGUAACAAAGGCGGAAAAUCUCCAUACUAGCAAAUGUGUUCAAUUAAGAGCGGUAGAUAGGAAUUUGGACUUGCAAAAGUGUUCAAAGCUUUCACUGUUAUGGAAAAUGCUUCAGAUAAAGUACACCUCCUAAAUUUAAAAUCUUAAGUGAGAAGUAAAAAAAAAGUUCAUGACGUAACUUAUGAGGAUAUGGCAAACGACUUCAGAAGACCAUGAUACUUAAGUAAUUCAAAAACUCAUUCAAAUAUGGAAGAUAAAGACACAUGAAG